GACGAACGCUGGCGGCGUGCUUAACACAUGCAAGUCGAACGGAAAGGCCCUGCUUUUGUGGGGUGCUCGAGUGGCGAACGGGUGAGUAACACGUGAGUAACCUGCCCUUGACCUUGGGAUAACUUCAGGAAACUGGGGCUAAUACCGGAUAGGAGCUCCUGCUGCAUGGUGGGGGUUGGUAAGUUUCGGCGGUUGGGGAUGGACUCGCGGCUUAUCAGCUUGUUGGUGGGGUAGUGGCUUACCAAGGCUUUGACGGGUAGCCGGCCUGAGAGGGUGACCGGCCACAUUGGGACUGAGAUACGGCCCAGACUCCUACGGGAGGCAGCAGUGGGGAAUAUUGCACAAUGGGCGGAAGCCUGAUGCAGCAACGCCGCGUGCGGGAUGACGGCCUUCGGGUUGUAAACCGCUUUCGCCUGUGACGAAGCGUGAGUGACGGUAAUGGGUAAAGAAGCACCGGCUAACUACGUG
rnacentral:rRNA from 1 species